AUACGGUAGGGGGCGAGCGUUGUCCGGAAUUAUUGGGCGUAAAGAGUUCGUAGGCGGUUUUUUAAGUCAGAUGUGAAAGGCUACAGCUCAACUGUGGUAAGCAUUUGAAACUGAAAGACUUGAGUUAAGGAGAGGAAAGUGGAAUUCCUAGUGUAGCGGUGAAAUGCGUAGAUAUUAGGAGGAAUACCAGUGGCGAAGGCGACUUUCUGGACUUAUACUGACGCUGAGGAACGAAAGCGUGGGGAGC
rnacentral:rRNA from 1 species